UUCUGCCUCCCCAAGUGCUAAUAUUAAAAGGUGUGCGUCAUCAAUACUACACGGCUAGGUUUUCUGAGAGGGUUUCUCAGAUAGUCCAGUGGUUAAGAGCACUGACUGACUGACUAUUUUGUGGGAUGUGUUCUGCCAGAAACACACUCCUACAACCCUUAGGACAGAGGCUUUGUGGGGUAAGGUCCUGUCAGCCUGCUGGAAGAGUUUACCACAUCAUCAUUCCUUUGCCUACCCCACCCCCAUGCUAUUCUGAUAGUAGCUUCAGUGGGUGGGCCCUCCCAGCUCCCAGUCUGCAAUGCUCAAGGAAAAUCACCCUGGCCAACCAACUGUCCAAACAGCCCAGCGAUCAUUUCCUUGAUAUUCAGGCUUUGGUGGGAAAGAACAGGAGAGCCCUGGGGAUUUGCAGUCUUAGACUAAGAGUCAGCAGAUCACAGAACACGUACCCUCAAGCAGUGUGGUCAGAGAGGACAUCUGGAUCCUCACUCGAGGCCUGGGCUGAACAAGUGAUUUGGUCAUGCUCAGACAGCAAGCCAAUGGACCUAUGGUGCGUGGGGCCUGUGGCCAGCUCUUUUUGGUUUGUCCCAUGGCUUCGAAGGCCCUUUGAUCUUGAGGAAUGGGUUAGUAGUGGAACGGGAAUGGAUGCUUGGGCCAAGUCUGGAUCACAGGACCUCUUCAUUGCUGCUGAGAUUAUCCCCGCCCCACAGAUCAAGAAGAUGAGAGUCCACAGGGAUGCAUAACCUGCUCAUAUCU
rnacentral:lncRNA from 1 species